rnacentral:tRNA from 1 species
GGCCUGUUAGCUCAGCUGGUUAGAGCGUCGUGCUAAUAACGCGAAGGUCUUGGGUUCGAUCCCCACAUGGGCCA